UCACAAUGGUAACCAAAUGAUGUCACAUAAUUGGGAAGGUUCCACAGCUUUUGAUCAAGAGUAAUUAGGGACAAUUCACUUUCACUUCUGAGCCUUUGAGUUUAGUACACUCUUAUUGUACUUCGGAAUAUUUAGGUGGAUGCAGAGGCUAUGGAAGAUUUCUAACCACUUCUCCAUCGAUGAUUUCUGACAGAGUUGCCUAGGAUUUGCUUCUAGUCUCAAUGAUUACACUCCAAGCCUGUGGCCUCCUGUAAAAUGAUGCAGAAGCAAUAAUCACGAGAUCACAUGCCACCAAGUCCUUCAGUAUUGCACCUGGGGUUUGCAAAAGUCCAUCAGUGACUGUGCAUUGCCCAUGCCUUCAGCUCACUGGAUCUCUCCCUCUGGCUGCCCUGUCUCCAGUUCAAAUUUGGCAUUACAGAAUUUCAAGCUUCCUUUUCUAAAUAAACAGAAUCACAAUACACUGUAA